GAGAGAGUCUAGUUUGGCACGCGUGACUAACACUGCUCGUAUUUCAAGAGCAAUCACCAUUUUUUCCGUUUUUCUGUCAGCUUGUCAUCGGGACGUGUAUGGGUUGCAAGUUUUU
ensembl:ncRNA F46H6.11 ncRNA